AUUUAUUAUUCAAAUAUCAUCCAUACAUUUUAUAUCUAAAUAUAGAAUUUAAUUUCUCUACAUUUUUGCAUCUUUUAUCACACUUGACACAUACUGAGAAGGGAUACUAAGAAUUUAAGUUAUUUUUCUCUAAAUAUAAAAUAAAUGUGGAUUACU
rnacentral:sRNA from 1 species